CGAAAACUCUUUUGGUCCACUCUCCCUCUUCCUGUCCCUCUCGCUUCCGUUUCUUAAUUUUGGCAAUCACAGAACCGUUGCACAUGACAAUACACAAUCCACAGUUUCACACCGUGAAACCCUAAAUAUGGCUUUCGAACCGGGUUCCGCAGUGGAAGUCAGCAUCGACGGUGGUGCUGGUGCACUCGGCAGGUCAUGGUUUUCCGACAGGUUCCUGGUCCUGUACCCUAACGUGGCGGAGAAAUCAACCGUGAGUUUUCACCAGCUCCGACCACUUCCCCCGCCGGAGACCCGUUGGAUAUUCCACUACGGCAAAAAGGUGGAGGUGUCUUUCGGGGACUCAGGACGAGUUCCUUCUCAAACUGUCAUGUGUUAGAUACUUUGUACCUUUCUAAUUGUUGUCUGAAUGAUGAUGCACGAGUCCUCUAUAUAUCUAAUUCCACCCUUUCCGCUUUGCUAACAGUGUUGUGCUUUCUACUCCAAUUCUGAGUUCUUUUAAUAUCUUUGCUUCUGUUGGUCACCAACUCUCCUCCAAAUGCAGUCAGAUUGACGUGUGGCUUCAAUUCUCCAUUGGGAAAGCUAUCACAGCAUGGCUGCAGGUGCUUGCCAAUGUAAAUAUAUUGGCAUUGUGUGUGCAUGCCAUUCGCAUAUUGCAUCUUGAACUCUCAAAUCCCAUUUCAAUGAAAGCUCAACCUCCUAACUUUGCUAGAUUGGAGCUGUUGAUAGUGAAGCAGCAGGUAUCUGCCACAAUAUCUAACAAGAAAGUCAACACAGUACUGGAGUACUUGCUUCAAAACACUCCAAUGGCCUACAAAGUUGAUAUCAUUCACAAACAACACCUUUUUAAAUGAUAUCCGUUCUUAGUUCUUCAAGUAGAGAAGUUUAAAGAGUAUCCAGUUUUUGUCUAUUUUAUGCUUACCUUUCUCCUUGUCCUAAAUACUCUUUUUGUACAGCAAAUUAUAGCUUGCAACAUUGUAAUUGCCUUGUUUACGAGGUGCUUUGAGACUUCUAAUGAAAGUGGAUGUUUUUAUUUGUUUAAUGGUACCAGGAGGUACGCA